rnacentral:lncRNA from 1 species
CGACUAAAACCGUACCUAUCCCAUGCCAUUUCAGGGAUAGUGAGGAAAAGUGAGAUAUUUCAUGGGAGCGUCCUCCCUAUCUGUCAUAUCCUUCGGCAUAUGGCCAAGGCCCUUCUCCAUGUGUGUAGGCUGAGCCAGUAUCCGUCUAUGUGAAAUGGGCUCCCAAAGUCCAUUCCUAUGCUAGGGAUAAGUACUCAUCUAUCACAAGAGGCCCCGUAGAUUUCUGAGACCUCCUCACUGACACCUACAUUCAUGGGAUCUGGAUGAGUUCAAAGCUGGUUUCCCAGUGAUCAGUCUGGGGGCCAAGUUCUCUCCCUUAUUAAGGUCCGGUAUUUCUGUGGGUUUCAACAGCCUGGUCUUGACUCUUUGCUCUCACUCCUCCUUCUCUUCAACUGGAUUCCAGUUCAGUUCAGGUUUAGCUGUGGGUAUCUGCUUCAACUUCCAUCAGCUGCUGGAUGAAGGCUCUAGAAUGCCAGAACCUAGAAGCAACAUAGAUGCCCCUCAACUGAAGAAUGGAUUGAGAAAAUGUGCAUUUAUACAAUGGAGUACUACUCAGCAGAAAAAAGCAAUGGAAUCUUGAAAUUCGCAGGCAAAUGGAUGGAACUAGAAGAAACCAUCCUGAGUGAGGUAACCCAGUCACAAGAAGACAAACAUGCGCCCUCAUCCAGUGGCUGAUGGAAGCAGAGAUAGACAUCCACAGAUAUACACUGAGCUGAAAUCGGGAAUUUAGUUGAAGAGAGGGAGGAAUGAAGAACGAAGGGAUCUGUUCCAGGUUGAAGAAACCCACAGGAAUAGUUGGCCUGAACAAGGGAGAGCACAUCGACCCCAGAUGCUGUCUGGGAGACUAGUACAAGACUGAUCCAGACCCCUGAACAUGGAUGUCAAUAAGGAGGCCUCUGCACUCCAGGAAGCCUCUGGUGGUGGAUUAGUAUUUUUCCCUGGUGCAAGAAGGGACUUUGAGAGCCCAUCCCAUGUGAAGGGUUACACUCUGGCCCUGGACACAUGGGGAAGGCCCAAGACCAGCACAGGAAGAUUUGGUGGACUUUGCAGAACCCCCGUUGAGGGCCCUACCCUGCCUGGGGAGUGGUG